rnacentral:rRNA from 1 species
GUUUAUUUGAUGGUACCUUGCUACAUGGAUAACUGUGGUAAUUCUAGAGCUAAUACAUGCUAAAAAUCCCGACUUCGGAAGGGAUGUAUUUAUUAGAUAAAAAACCAAUGCCCUUCGGGGCUCCUUGGUGAUUCAUAAUAACUAAACGAAUCGCAUGGCCUUGCGCCGGCGAUGGUUCAUUCAAAUUUCUGCCCUAUCAACUUUCGAUGGUAGAGUAGUGGUCUACCAUGGUCUCAACGGGUAACGGGGAAUUAGGGUUCUAUUCCGGAGAGGGAGCCUGAGAAACGGCUACCACAUCUAAGGAAGGCAGCAGGCGCGUAAAUUACCCAAUCCUGACUCAGGGAGGUAGUGACAAUAAAUAACAAUACAGGGCUCACAGAGUCUUGUAAUUGGAAUGAGAACAAUUUAAAUCUCUUAACGAGGAUCAAUUAGAGGGCAAGUCUGGUGCCAGCAGCCGCGGUAAUUCCAGCUCCAAUAGCGUAUAUUAAAGUUGUUGCAGUUAAAAAGCUCGUAGUUGGACUUUGGGUUGGG